rnacentral:rRNA from 1 species
AUGGCGAGCGCAUGGGACAGCCCGUCGAGCAGCCUGUGGGGCGCCCUGGGGCAAGCCUCCACCAUGGCGCAGCUGGUGGGCGUCGACGCGCUCGGGCUGGUCUCCAUGGUCGUGCAGGCCGCCCUGGUGGCGCGCCGCCACCGGGAUGCCUGCGUGCGGCUCGCGCAGCACGUGGAGCUCGUCGGCGGCCUGCUCGGGGAGCUGGAGCUCGAGGAUCUGAUGCGGCGGGAGGCCACCAGGCGGCCGCUGGAGCAGCUCGGCAGCGCUCUGCGGCGGUGCUACGCGCUCGUGACCGCGUGCCAGGACUGCGGCUACCUCCGCCGCCUGCUCCUGGGAGCCCGGAUGGCCGACGAGCUCCGUGCCGCACAGCACGAGGUCGAUAUGUUCAUCCGCCUCAUCCCGCUCAUCGCCCUCGUCGGCAAUUCUACUGCAGAUAGUCGCCGUGUCAAGAUUGUUAAUUGCCGUUAA